rnacentral:lncRNA from 1 species
GCGACCUUCCAACGCAUGCUCUGCUUCUGCCUGGACUUUUCACGCCUAGAGCCUUAGGCCUUUGAGGCAACAGAGCCCUGGAAAGGACAAUGGUCUCCUGCUUGGCGCCCUGAGACAAGUCCUCAGAGAAGAGCUCUGCCCCACCCAAGACCUAGAAGGAACUGAGGGCGGGAGAGCUCUCCCGAGAAGCAGGCCCCUCAGAGCGUAGUCUUCCAUGGCCUGAGGCAGCUGGGAAGGCCGCCGCAAGCUGCUGGGAUGGAAGACAUUGUUCGAAGUGAUGUUGCCUUGGAUAAACAGAAAGGCUGCAAGAUUGCUCAGCACCCUGAUAUUAUGCUGGAGCUUCAAAGAGAGAAGGCAGCUCAGAUGCAUCUGGUUCUUCUAAAGGAGCAAUUCUCCAACACUUACAGUAAUCUCAUAUUAAC